rnacentral:snRNA from 1 species
GUGCUCGCUUCGGCAGCAAAUAUACUAAAAUUGGAACAAUACAGAGAAGAUUAGUGUGGCCCCUGCGCAAGGAUGACAUGCAAAUUUGUGACGUGUUCCAUAUUUUU